rnacentral:misc_RNA from 1 species
GAUGAAGAACGUAGCGAAAUGCGAUAAGUAGUGUGAAUUGCAGAAUUCAGUGAAUCAUCGAAUCUUUGAACGCACAUUGCGCCUCCUGACAUUCCGGGAGGCAUGCCUGUUCGAGCGUCAUCAAACCCCAUCGUGCAAAUGAAUUAUUUUUUUUGCGCGGAAGUGACGAUUGAGCGAGAAUAACAAAUCCUCUCGCACCUCGUCGAAAUGAUUGCGGGCGGAAUUUGGGAUCGGGUUCCUUGGCGUAGUGUAUCAAUGCAUAUUUAUGCAACUUGCCGCGGAGUUGAGCCUGACCCACGCGUUCUCGCCGUACAAACACCUCAUUACUUUACAAGUUUUUGACCUCGGAUCAGGUAGGGAUACCCGCUGAACUUAAGCAUAUCAAUAAGCGGAGGA